AAAUUUUUAUGUUUUAGAAAAUUUAUUAUAAAUUUAUUUUACAUAUAAAUUUUAGUAUAUAAUUUUAAUUAUUUAAAAAAUAAUUAAUUGAAAUUUAUAGUAAUUAAAAUUAAAAAUUUAAGAAAUUAAGAUUUAGUAAUAUAAAAAUUAAUAACUAAUUUUGUGCCAGCAGUUGCGGUUAAACAAAAAUUAAAUUAAAUUAUUUCAGUAUUUAAUAAAUAAAAUAAAAUUAAAAUAAAUGUUAAAUUAUUAGGUGAAAUUUUAAUUUAAUUAAAUUUUAAAUUAAUUUUAUGAUUUAGUAAAUUUAAUAAUAAACUAGGAUUAGAUACCCUAUUAUUAAAAAUUUAAUUUAUAAUACUAAAAUAGUAAAUAAUAAAUAUUGAAACUUAAAUAAUANNNNGCGGUAUUUUAGUUCAUUUAGAGGAAUCUGUUUAAUAAUUGAUAAUCCACGAAUAAAUUUACUUAAUUUAAUAUUUUAUAUAUCGUUGUUAAAAAAAUAUUUUAUUAAAAAAAAAUAAUAUUUAAAAUUUUUUAUAAAAAAUUAAUUCAGAUCAAGAUGUAGAUUAUAAUUAAGAAUAUAAUGGAUUACAAUAAAAUAAUUUAAAAUGGAUAGUUAAUUUAAAAGUUAACUUGAAGGUGGAUUUAAAUGUAAUUUUAAUUAGUUUAUUAAAAUGAUUAAAAAUUGAAAUAUGUACAUAUUGCCCGUCACUUUCAUUUAAAAAUUGAAAUAAGUCGUAACAAAGUAGAAGUACUGGAAAGUGUUUCUAGAAAGAA
rnacentral:ncRNA from 1 species